rnacentral:rRNA from 1 species
GGUCCCGCCUGCCCUGUGACCCCUGGUUUAACGGCCGCGGUAUUUUGACCGCGCGAAGGUAGCGCAAUCACUUGUCCUUUAAAUGGGGACCUGUAUGAAUGGCAUAACGAGGGCUUAACUGUCUCCUUUCCCCGGUCAAUGAAAUUGAUCUUCCCGUGCAGAAGCGGGAAUCCUAACAUAAGACGAGAAGACCCUAUGGAGCUUUAGACCUUAGAGCAGAUCAUGUUUUGUUAUCCCAUUAAGCAAGUAAUAACUAUUGAACCCCUGUUCUACUGUCUUUGGUUGGGGCGACCACGGGGAAGAAAAAAACCCCCACGUGGACUGGGAGCACACUACUCCUUCAACUACGAGCCACAGCUCUAAUGCGCAGAAUCUCUGACCAUAAGAUCCGGCAAAGCCGAUCAACGGACCGAGUUACCCUAGGGAUAACAGCGCAAUCCCCUUUAAGAGUCCAUAUCGACAAGGGGGUUUACGACCUCGAUGUUGGAUCAAGACAUCCUAAUGGUGCAGCCGCUAUUAAGGGUUCGUUUGUUCAACGAUUAAAGUCUU